rnacentral:rRNA from 1 species
GAUGAACGCUGGCGGCGUGCCUAAUACAUGCAAGUCGAGCGAAUGGAUUAAGAGCUUGCUCUUAUGAAGUUAGCGGCGGACGGGUGAGUAACACGUGGGUAACCUGCCCAUAAGACUGGGAUAACUCCGGGAAACCGGGGCUAAUACCGGAUAACAUUUUGAACCGCAUGGUUCGAAAUUGAAAGGCGGCUUCGGCUGUCACUUAUGGAUGGACCCGCGUCGCAUUAGCUAGUUGGUGAGGUAACGGCUCACCAAGGCAACGAUGCGUAGCCGACCUGAGAGGGUGAUCGGCCACACUGGGACUGAGACACGGCGCAGGCUCCUACGGGAGGCAGCAGUAGGGAAUCUUCCGCAAUGGACGAAAGUCUGACGGAGCAACGCCGCGUGAGUGAUGAAGGCUUUCGGGUCGUAAAACUCUGUUGUUAGGGAAGAACAAGUGCUAGUUGAAUAAGCUGGCACCUUGACGGUACCUAACCAGAAAGCCACGGCUAACUACGUGCCAGCCGCCGCCGUAA